rnacentral:lncRNA from 10 species
AGGGCACACAGUUUAAAACGUAUGAAUUGUUUAUGUCGGAAUUUUCCAUUUAAUAUUUUCAGACCACGGUUGACCACAGGUAACUGAAACCACAGGAAUGAGAUGACAGGGAUACUGAGGGGCUACUUGUGAGAUGGCAAAAAAGAGAUAUGGCAACCAGAAUUUCCCUCAGUCGCCCCUGACAAGUUCUCCUACAUCUUCACACAAAGUAAGAGGGCCGCCACUUCACGGUGAUCUCAGCACUCCUAAUGCCAUUUGGAAAAUUCUGGACUUGGAUUAAGCACUACUCAGGCAGGACAGUUCACAGAUAUCUGUGAGCCAUGACUUAAGGCCCAUCAUCUCUGAAGCUAUUUCCAAGUUAGUUAGCAUCAUAUGGACAAACAGAGGGAGAGGCAGAAAG